rnacentral:rRNA from 1 species
GACGAACGCUGGCGGCGUGCUUAACACAUGCAAGUCGAACGGAAAGGCCCUGCUUUUGUGGGGUGCUCGAGUGGCGAACGGGUGAGUAACACGUGAGUAACCUGCCCUUGACUUUGGGAUAACUUCAGGAAAUUGGGCCAAUACCCGGUAGGGAGCCCCGGCGGAUGGGUGGGGGUGGAAAGGUUUCGGCGGUUGGGGAUGGACUCGCGGCUUAUCAGCUUGUUGGUGGGGUAGUGGCUUACCAAGGCUUUGACGGGUAGCCGGCCUGAGAGGGUGACCGGCCACAUUGGGACUGAGAUACGGCCCAGACUCCUACGGGAGGCAGCAGUGGGGAAUAUUGCACAAUGGGCGGAAGCCUGAUGCAGCAACGCCGCGUGCGGGAUGACGGCCUUCGGGUUGUAAACCGCUUUCGCCUGUGACGAAGCGUGAGUGACGGUAAUGGGUAAAGAAGCACCGGCUAACUACGUG